rfam:Schistosoma mattheei strain Denwood, Zambia genome assembly, scaffold: SMTD_contig0004194
GCACUGCUGAGGAGUCCCAUACUAGGACGAAACGGCCGUCCACUGU